rnacentral:rRNA from 1 species
UACGUAGGAGGCAAGCGUUGUCCGGAAUUACUGGGCGUAAAGCGCGUGUAGGUGGUGGGACAAGUCUGCUGUGAAAGCGCCUGGCUUAACCGGGCGAGGUCGGCGGAAACUGUCCGACUCGAGUCCGGUAGGGGAGUGUGGAAUUCCUGGUGUAGCGGUGAAAUGCGCAGAUAUCAGGAGGAACACCAAUUGCGAAGGCAGCUCGCUGGGACGUUACUGACGCUGGAGACG